AACGAACGCUGGCGGCAGGCUUAACACAUGCAAGUCGAACGAUGUAGCAAUACAUAGUGGCGCACGGGUGAGUAACGCGUGGGAAUAUGCCCUUUAGUUUGGAAUAACAGUUGGAAACGACUGCUAAUACCAAAUACGCCCUUCGGGGGAAAGAUUUAUCGCUAAAGGAUUAGCCCGCGUGAGAUUAGGUAGUUGGUGGGGUAAUGGCCUACCAAGCCUACGAUCUCUAGCUGGUCUGAGAGGAUGAUCAGCCACACUGGAACUGAGACACGGUCCAGACUCCUACGGGAGGCAGCAGUGGGGAAUAUUGGACAAUGGGCGAAAGCCUGAUCCAGCCAUGCCGCGUGAGUGAUGAAGGCCUUAGGGUUGUAAAGCUCUUUUGUCAGGGAAGAUAAUGACGGUACCUGAAGAAUAAGCACCGGCUAACUUCGUGCCAGCAGCCGCGGUAAGAC
rnacentral:rRNA from 1 species